ACGCAGCCUGACGCAGCACGCCGCGUGAGGGAUGAAGGCCUUCGGGUUGUAAACCUCUUUCAGCAGGAACGAAACUGACGUUACCUGCCCAGCAAAGAACGCACAAGUACAUUACAUGACACGCGCCGCCGCAAUAGCUCCGGUGCUUGCCUUGAUUUGAAGUAUUGGACGAACUCAGCUCCUGUUUGGUUUGUCGCGUCUGCUGUGAAAAUCCUCAGCUCAACCUUGGACCUGCAUUGUGUAGUGACUUACUUUAGUGAGGGAAGGGAGAAAGUAAUUCUGGGUGUAUGAAUGGAAUGCACAUAUAUCAGAACAAACACCAAUGGCGAACGCACAUCUCUGGGCCCUGACUGACGCUGACGAAAGAAAGCGUGGGAAACAAAAUUAAAUACAUACCCUGGCAAUGCACUACAUAAAGGGUGGGAGCUGUGGGUGGGCACUAUUCGGAUCCGCCCCGGACCUAACGCAUUAAGUGCCCCGCCUGGGGAGUACGUACGGUCGACUAACUCUCACUCGAAUUGAUUGGCGG
rnacentral:rRNA from 1 species